rnacentral:rRNA from 1 species
UACGUAGUGUGCAAGCGUUGUCCGGAAUUAUUGGGCGUAAAGAGCUCGUAGGCGGUUUGUCGCGUCUGCUGUGAAAACUCGGGGCUUAACCCCGGGCCUGCAGUGGGUACGGGCAGACUAGAGUGCGGUAGGGGAGACUGGAAUUCCUGGUGUAGCGGUGAAAUGCGCAGAUAUCAGGAGGAACACCGGUGGCGAAGGCGGUUCUCUGGGCAUUACCUGACGCUGAGGAGCGAAAGUGUGGGGAGCGAACAGG